rnacentral:lncRNA from 1 species
CGGCUGGCCUGGGAACGCCUCGGUGUCCCCCCGGAAGAGCUAGAGGAAGUGUCUGGGGAGAGGGAAGUCUGGGCAUCCCUGCUUAGACUGCUGCCCCCGCGACCCGGCCCCGGAUAAGCGGAAGAAGAUGGAUGGAUGGAUAGAUUUCCAGAGACUCCAGAAUGAAAACCAAACUCUGAGGGAGGAGAACCAAGCCCUGAGGGAAUGCAAUGCACAAGCAGCUUUGGAUGACAGCGGCUCACUUAAAGAGCAGGUGAAGCAAGUAGGGACAAUGUUGAAGACGUUUGCUCUCACUGGGCAAUCAGGUACAACUUGCAAACAACACCUGUGGUUGUUAGUUUAAUACCUGUACAUGUAGUAGACCUAGAUAUAAAUGUCGUAGUUUAGUAUUUGAGGGACCAGGACUGACUACGUUAUUCUUUUAUUCUGGGAACCCCUGUAGGUGCGUUACCUGAAAGGAGCAUCUGACCGUGAAGACAGAAAAAGGUGCCGCACAGCUGAGAAGGACCCACAGCCGACCCCUUAAACCUAGGCUGACUACUGACACCCCAGCAUCACUGAACUGGAACACUUUCAUUAUCCUGCAGUCAGUAACAUCAAGAAGCCAGAACUGCCAGACUACACUCACCAAAUCCACCCUGUUUUCUUUUGUAUUUUAACUUUAGUAUUGGCUUAUUUCAUUCCGUCUUAACGAUUCUAUUAUAGUUUGUAAAUCCUAUUACAUACCUGUUACUUGAUAUUGCACAUUAACUAGUACCAAAAUUCUACUUUCAUUUCAUCAGUGUGCUUAACUGUUAUUCUAUUAAUAAUAGCUUGGAAAUACUAUUUCAUACCUCUGAUACUUGAUAUUGCACAUUACCUGGUACCAAAUAUUCUACUUACUCUGUUUUUAACAUCAGCAUUUUUCAUUCCAUCACAGUGCUUAACUGUUAUUCUAUUGUUAAAUAUAGCUUGUAAAUCCUUGUGCCACAGGUCAGCAUUGCAGUUAUAAUGGUCUGUUCUACUACUGUUUUUACCUCCGUAUUUUUAUAUAAAUAUAUGUCAAGUUUUGUUUAUCACAGAUACAAGAGACACAGAUCUUAUUACAGCACGGUGUAAAUCUUGUGCUCCAGGUCUGCAAUGCCAUUAUAAUGGUCUAUUCUACUCUAGAGCUUUACUCUAAAUUAUUACCAGUUUUCCUAUUGUUAGAAAUGGCUUGAAAAUGUGAUGUUAUACCUCGACUUAUUUGGUAUCCUGCACAUUCUUUGGUACCAAAUAUCCUCAUUACUUGUUAUGUUUACUGGAAAUUAUUAUUUUCACCUGCAUGAUCUGUAGUGUGUAUUUAUAUGUAUAUUUUUUUCUGCCUGUUAUUUCAGUGAUCUGAUACAUCUUGUUUGAAUGACAGUUACUGUAUUGUAGAAUUAAAACACCAAAUGGAA